UUCUUGAGCGUCUUCGGGGUGCUGGGUGAUGAUGGUAGGACCUUUGGGGUAUUACAGACUGGACAGCCAUGGACCCUCUGUCUGCCUAUCCCACUCCGCCACCUAUCGGGGCCCUGGGAAAACGACUUGAAUCGGGAAAAGGUGGAAGCCUAGGACUCUGUGUCUUUAUCGUGCACCCCAGAGGAUUCGGAUUCACCUGAAAAGCUGUGAGGUCCACAGGCCAAGAGCUCCGAGGUCAAGGAGCAGGUUUCUGGAGUCAGAGGGAUGAUGGCGGUUCCUCCGUGUGAAGAAGACCAGGGUGUGCAAAUAGACUGCUACUGUGGAGAGGUGAGGAAACUGAAGCCCAGGAGAGGUCAAGUAUUUUGCCUGAGGUCACGGAGAGUGUAAAUGGUGGAAUUCGGGUACAGAGGUACUCUGGCUCUUCAUCACUAAAUGAUUGUACUAUCCUGC